CCUCAGGGGCCCCUUUCCUGGUCUUGUGACCAUAGAGGGAUGGUUUCUCCUGGGCACUUCUCCCUAUAUGCCUGCUGAGCAGUUCUGGGAUUUGGGUGUCCUGAGUCUAAGCUGGGAGAUGUGGGAGGAAAGAAAAGCUGGUGAACUCAUUGCCACCUCCAUGUUUCUCUGAAUGUUAUCUCUCUCUCCAUCUGCUUGCCGUGGUUUUCUUUCUAGACACCUCUGAUGAUUGCUGCAUGUAUUCUGCCCAGGGUUUUUGGCUGUGAUCACUGGGAGAGAUAGAAGGGACUGUAUUUGCUCCAUCUUACCCAGCUCUGCAAACCUGCUGGAGAGUUUAAUUGGCAUAUGACUUCUAUCCUCAAAGUCACAAGAUGGCUGCUGGAGUUCCAGUCAGGAUGUCUGUACAGGGCUUUGAUCAACUCGGCCUUCCUGGGCCUCGGGGAGAGAGACGGACUGCCUCCGGGUGCUCAUGACCUUUCCAGCAGUAAGCCAAUAAUGUAUGACUCCUGCGUUGCCGUUGCUCGUUUGAGGAACAUCUGUCCAGUCCCUGGGAUGGUGAGGCUAUAACCACAAAGGAAUAAGAGAAGACGACUAGUUUUGUAAUGGGGACAUUGGCUGCUGUCUUCUGACCCACCCUGUGUGGCUUUGGCGUCUCCUGUGACCUCCCAGUAUGGGUCUUGGCCUCAUCCUGCCUCUUUGUCUUUCUGGCCCACCACCCACAGCUUGAAUCUCAGGCUCCAACAGUUGCCUGACCCCCAGAUUCUGAUGACAGCCUACCUACUUGUUCUUCAGGCCCUCACCAGACUCACUGCCCAGACACACCACACAGGAGAACAUGAAAGGGUGAAUGAAUCUUUCAUCAUUUGAUGACCAAGUUGGCAUUCUUUUACAUUCCAGCCACCAGAGGAAGGUGUAUUUUAACACAAUUGCCCUCACAUCCUCCUUAACAGGAUUUACAUAAGUUUAUUAACACAUAUGUUUCUACAAAAUCAAGUUUUGAGAACCAUUUUUAUACACUGAUCUGGGACAUUUUGGGGAUAUGAAAUUAACUUUAGCACACACAGCAAGAAGAAAACCGAACAACAAAUUCUACAAACACCAAAUUUGCUGUGAAAUUUACAUUUCAGAAUCUCUCAAGAAAUAGUGCCCAGCAGCAAUUCUUACUGUUUUCACUUUUUCCCCCGUCUUCACAUUUUUAUGUUUGACAGUGCCAACAUAUUUUCUCAACAUUUAUUCUGAAAGGAAUGUACUUUGUGAAUUCCUUAAAUGCAGGAUGAUUCUGAUUUUAUUGGCCUAAUAGCUCCUCCUUAUGCGUGGGUUAGUAUAACAGAAUGCAUUUGAGACCUGCUAUACUAUUUUAAAUUAAGACAUUUCAUGUAGCACAUAGUAUUUUAAAAUGAAGAACAUUGUCUUGGAAAGCACACAGGCUAACUGCUAUUUUCUUGAUGCAAGAAAUAUUUAAAUUCUCUGUGCUUCAGUCUAUACAAUCAGUUUUCCAGGGAUGCUGUGUAUAUAAAACGAGGGAGUGUAUUAAGAGUAUCAGCAUGUAGUAGGUCCUUCAACAGAAGCUGGAGGUUCUGGCUCAAGGUCUGGCUUGUGUUCAAUGAACACCAAACCACAUAAUUGCCC
rnacentral:lncRNA from 10 species